AACGUAGGGGACAAGCGUUAUCCGGAUUUACUGGGCGUAAAGCGCCCGUAGGCAGCUUGGCAAGUUGGACGUGAAAGCUCCCGGCUUAACUGGGAGAGGCCGUACAAAACUGCGAAGCUAGAGGUUGGAAGAGGAGAGCAGAAUUCCCGGUGUAGUGGUGGAAUGCGUAGAUAUCGGGAGGAAUACCAGCGGCGAAAGCGGCUCUCUGGUCCAGACCUGACGCUGAGGGGCGAAAGCGUGGGGAGCGAACGGG
rnacentral:rRNA from 1 species